rnacentral:rRNA from 1 species
GCAUAAUCAUUUGCCCGUUAAUUGCGGGCUAGUAUGAACGGGUAAACGAAAUAGAACCUGUCUCAGUUAAACUAAUAAAAAUUAUCCUCUAGAUGAAGAGAUCUAAAUAAAAUUGAAGGACAAGAAGACCCUAUAGAGCUUUACUUUUAUAAAAUACUAAAAUAUUUUAAACAGUUCGGUUGGGGCGACCAAGGACACAUAUAUCAUCCUACAACAUUAAGAUUCACACAUCUCUAUAUAUGACCCUAUAAUAGAUCAAAGAAACAAGCUACCUUAGGGAUAACAGGCUAAUCCUCCCACAGAGACCUUAUCAACAGGAGGGAUUGGCACCUC